UACGUAGGGUGCAAGCGUUGUCCGGAAUUACUGGGCGUAAAGGGCUCGUAGGCGGCCAACUAAGUCAGAUGUGAAAUCCCCAGGCUUAACCUGGGAACUGCAUCUGAUACUGGAUGGCUUGAAUUCGGGAGAGGGAUGCAGAAUUCCAGGUGUAGCGGUGAAAUGCGUAGAUAUCUGGAGGAAUACCGGUGGCGAAGGCGGCAUCCUGGACCGACAUUGACGCUGAGGAGCGAAAGCUAGGGGAGCAAACGGG
rnacentral:rRNA from 1 species